UUCAGAUAAUUACAAUUCAUAUAUAGACAACAACGGCCUUCCAUUGUCAACGGAUUCCGAGAAAAUGAAGGAUACAAACAGUGAUGGCGGAUAUGUGUCGUCUAAAGGGGAAUACGACUCUGAAGGCAAAACAGAAAAUGGCGUGGCAUAUGACAACAACGGUUAUUCCAGUGAGAAAUUUUGAAAAAUCACAGUUUGUUCAUAUGAGAAACAAUCUAAUGAAAUUCAACAAGAUCUGACAAAAAAAAAAAAAAAAAAAAAAAAAAAACGUGAUAUUUUUAUGUCUCAAAUAAUUUUUGAAGACUUGUUUAUCAACAAACUGUCAUUCACUGGGAUAAAACGUUACUCAAAACAGUGUAUGAAAUCAUGUAUGUUGUUUCGAUCAAACGUUUAUCAAAAUAAUAAUUUGGAAAAAAAAUAAAGAGAUGAAUAAUAUGCCCGUAGAAAGUUACAAUGAAGACUCUGAAAAUAAAAUACAUGUAGUACCAAUCUGAAUGGCAGGUCGUAUUGUAAAACAGAACUUGUCAAAGAAAUUCUAGACAUAAUUUUUGGAUGUACUAACCUUUAAAGAUAAAUUCCUACGCUCAGCCUUGGUGGUUUAUUAGCCGCUGUCAUUUUAAACAUUAAGGAAUGAAAGUCUCCCUGAACAAAGUCACCGGAAAUGUGUGAAAGAAUUGUUUUCCGGUCACAUUAUGCUGGAUAAGGUAUUACGUAAUUCAAAAUUGAAUCUAAUUAUAAUUCAUUUUAAUUUUGAAAAUGGAAGAAUUUAAAAUAAGUAAUGCAGCCUUGAUGAAACCCUACAGCUACUGAACGUUAAGAGGGCCUCCGUGAUCACUAACUGUGUAACAACUGCUUGUCAACAUUUCGGGUUUAAAAUCCCUCUAAGGGUGUAAAAUGUUCUAUCCAGCUGGCUUGCUUCCGCCCCCCACCCCACCCCCGAAGGUGGGCAUAUUAUUUGCACUGUACGUCCGAGUGUAAAUUCUUUCCCGGGCUGUGACUCUGCCAUCCAUUAAGGGAUUUUGAAAUAGCUUGGCAUAAAUGUUUACCAUCAUGAGACGAUGUGUCAUGCGCAAGACCCAGACCCCUAGCUCAAAGCUCAGUGUCACACUUUGAGGUCGAAGUUAACAGGGUCUGUUUCUUGUUCGGUUCAUAACUCUGCCACCCAUGAAGGAAUUUUGAAAUAACUUGGCAUAAUUUUUUACCAUAAUGAGACAAUGUGUCAUGUGCAAGACCCAGACCCUAGCUCUAAGGUCAAGGUCACACUUAGAGGUCAACGGUUAACAGGGUCUGGUUCAUAACUCUGCCAUUCAUCAAGGUAUUUUGAAAAUACGUGGCAUAAAUGUUCCCCAUAAUAAGUCACUUGGGCAAGAUCCAGACCCCUAGCUAUAAGGCCAAGGUCAUGGUUAAAGGUUAACAUGGUCUGUUUCUUGUCCGGUCCAUAACUCUGCUAUUGAUGAAGGGAUUUUAAAGUUACUCGGCAUAAAUGUUCCCUAUAAUGUGCUGACAUAUAAUGCGCAAGAUCCAGACCCCUAGCUCCAAGGUCAAGGUCAUACCUAGAAGUCAAAGAUUAACAUGGUCUGUUUCUUGUCCGGUCAAUAACUCUGCCAUUUAUCAAGGGAUUUGAAAAUAGUUUGACACAAAUGUUAACCAUAAUGAGAAGGUGUGUCGCGUGUAUGACCCGGGUCACUCAGGUCUAGGUCAAGGUUACAAAAUGAUUCAUACUUAAAACUAUUCUGGCAUAUAUGUGCAGACAACUGUAGCAUUCUUGGGCACGCUUCGGGGACAUUUGUCGCUAAUAGUGACAGCUCUUGUUAAAGCUUGAAUGUCGCUGCCAAACUGUCAUUUUAUAGACUUGACCAAAACACACAAAUAAACUAUGCAGGAACACAAUAUGCAUGUUUUAAAAAGAUCGUCACGAACACUUUUUCUGAUUAUAAAUGUACAUUUUGAUGAUAGCUUACUAGAAUGAAUAUAUCCUACAUGCCUAUUAUUCAGAAAACUGCUUGUGUGUGACAAACAUAUGUGAGAUCAUUGACCGUCAAGCUGUAAGUCUUGUAAAGUUAGGACUGUAUGUGUCAGGCUGUAAAUUUAUGACUUUUUUAUAAUUUAUCAGCGUUUAAAUUUAAGAUCUGCAUUAAAAGACUCAUAAAGUCCUGUCUAUAUUUUGGCAGUAUCUUUCAAAUUAAUAACAGUACAUUUUCGAAAUUUCGCACACGUUUGGACACAUAUGUCAUAACUAACAUAUAACAUUUCAACACAGUCGCGUAAUUCAAGCAAAAACAACAACAACAACACGUAAUUCUUCACUUCAGCGUAUAAAUUAAUAUAAUAAGAUUAUUAUAAUAGUAGCUUGAUCUGGGCUGUUGUAUUUGGCUCAAGGGGAUUUGUACAUGCAAUACAAAAAGUACAAUACGGAUGUUUUUCUGCAAGUUAAUAGAGGGAAGUAUUUAUCCUUUUUUGCACUGAGGGACAGUUUUGUACCAACAUAUCAUGUGUAUGUAUUUAUGUGACGUUUUACAAAUAGGAAGAGGUGGUAAAAUAAAAUGAUAGCAUAUCACUCGAUUUUUUUGCAAUGUUCUUAAUAACAUAUAUUUCUAAACGCCUGUGAUAUUUCAUAAAUGGACGUAAUAGUGAAGGUGUUAGAAGCUGUGUUAUUUUUUUUUUUUUAAAUUAAAACUUAAAUUGUGUAGGCUUGCUUUUCCGUUGCAUCGUUGUUUUCGAGUAAUUUUGUUGAAGAAUAUUCUAUCUAAGUAUGUAUGUAUUUAUACUUCGGUGAACAGGCAUGUGUUCAUUUUAUUUUGUUGCGCGGUGUUUCCUGGUAAAAUUUGUCUUUUGCUGAAACGAAACACCAUAGACUUUGCUUUGUAAACUUUCUUGCAAACCUUUCGCUGAUUAGUAUGCUAUCGUCAGUGAGAUUAGUUACCAUUGGUCCUGAAAAAGGGGCCAUCUUGCUAGUCUUUGUGAUCAAUAUUUAGAGAGAGAAAACGGUUUUCACUCAAAAUUUAGCAAAAUAAUCCUAAUCCAGACCCAGCAAGCAUGAUAUAUUAGGCGGAAAUCUGACUGAUACGGUUUAUUGUCAGUAGUUUUGCUAAGUCUAUAUUUCAUUUUGAUGUUCUCAAAUAUCGGCUGAAAGUUGGGCCAAUAAAAUAAACAAAUAUCAGUUUGCCGAUAUUUGUCCUAUAUAACUGUGUUUGCUGGGGAGUCAUGGCGAAUUUAGUGUGUUCAGCAUUAAUAUAAUUAUGUAUUGGGCAUGACUAUGCAUUUUGAAAACGCAGCGCUUUAAUUUUGUAUAUAAGACAUGCAAUCUCAUAAUUUUCUGUGCAUCUUGUUAGUUCCGUUUCGCUUAUUAUACCAGAAAGAUUUUUUUCAACGGAAAAAUAUAGAUUUUAACGGAAACAUGUAGUUUUUAAAGGAAAUAAAUGUAGUUUUUUAACGGAAAGAAGUAGACUUAGCGAGGCAAUCUGAACACAAAAAAAAUAAUGCUAGUAUUAUCUCCUGGCCACUCAGGUAACUUCUGAGGUGAUGUCAAGCAGUAAUGAUAAAGAUUCUCCAAUGUCAUUAUUUGAAAUACAAUAAUUAGGAGUAGUAUUUCAUUUUUCCUCUCCGUAUGUUUGUCCUGAGUGGAUAUUCCGGCGGCAAAGGUAUAAUACUAGCACUUGUAAAUACAAACAUGUGUGCAAAUGUAUAUAUCAUAUUUUUGAAAUAAAGACAAUGUUAACUAAAA